GACGAGUCAGCGAGCAAAGGUUACAAAAACCCGAGACGAACCAUUUUAGGGGCUUCUUCUUUUUGGCUUUGGGCUUUUUGCCUAUUCGAUCCGAUUCGAUUCUAUUCGGAUCUAUUACACUAUUCUUAUUAAUGUCAUUACAUUAGUAUUACAAUUGCGGUAUUCUUCUUCCUUCUUUCUUGCCUGCCUGCCUGUCUGCCUGCCCCAGCGGGCAUUGUUUUUAACUAGAAUUCCUGGUGUUUCCAUUGGCAUGAAGGGAGAAGUAAACACACACUAUUGACAUAUAAUGAUUUUUCUCAGUUAAUGACAUGAUUUAAAGUAAAUGUGAUCGUUUUGACUCAAGUUAUAAUGGAAAUUGAGACACUGUUAAAAUUGUUUGUCAUACAUAUUUAACAUUAACAGUUCUCUGAUAUAAUUAAGAUUAUUAUGAUGUCCUAGUGAAGCAUCAUAUAUUUCGAGGGAGUGAGUGCCUGAUUCUUAUCUUCAGGUGAAAUCUUGGAGAAUUAGAAGACCUCAAAGGAGACUGCUGCUUGGGUUUCUUUGCAUCACUCUUAUAUGAAUUGUGUUGCCACCAUACAAAUCUGACAAUGAAUAUGGAAAUGUUUUAGUGAUGUGUUGUGUUCUUGUGAUAUGAAGAAAAUGGAUCCAGUACUGGUCAUGAUACAUAGAACAAGUGCGUCUUAAUGACAGUGGAAAUGAAACCUCCUCAACAUAACAUCAUUUUUGAGUGAAGCGUCACAUAUUUCGAGGGAGUGAGUGACUCAUACUUUUCUUCGGGUGAAAUAUUAGAGAAUUAGAAGACCUCGAAGGAGAUUUUUCCUUGGGGUUCUUUGCAUCGCCCUUAUAUAUACUGUGUUCCACCAUACAAAUCUGACAAUGAAUAUGGAAAUGUUUCAAAGAUACAUUGUGUUGUUGUGAUAUAAAGAAAAUGGAUCCAGUACUGGUCAUGAUACAUAGCACAAGUGCGUCUUAAUGACAGUGAAAAUGUCACUUCUACACCGUAACAUCAUUUUUGAGGCCAUAUUCUGGAUACUAAUAUAGCAUGGGAAUAUGCUGGUUCUGGUAGGCCUGUGUCAUCCAGAAUACAAGUCAGCCGAAAUGUGUCAAUUCAGACUGAAUGAGCAGGCAAAUUUAGUGGAAUCUGAUUAAGAGUGUUUGUGAAAAUUGAUCUACUCCUGGGUAUGUAAGAGAGACAUAAGUGGUCAUAGAAACAGUGGAAAUGAUACCGCCACAACCUUCCAUCAUUUACGAGUGAAAUUCCUGAAGAUGAACUGGAAUAUUUUCCAAAAAUAUUCUCAUGGCAGCAUCAAUUUAUGGUGAAGCUGAUGGAAAGGUGGUGUGAGGCCGAAGACAACAUACAGGCAAAUACUGAAAUCAUACAUGCCUUGCAGAAAGAGUUAAUUCUCCACAGAGGGGCAGCAAGGUAUCCUGCCAUGAUAAAGGUAGGUUUGUCUACAC